rnacentral:rRNA from 1 species
CUGGCGGCGUGCUUAACACAUGCAAGUCGAGCGGUAAGGCCCUUCGGGGUACACGAGCGGCGAACGGGUGAGUAACACGUGAGCAACCUGCCCCUGACUCCGGGAUAAGCCGGGGAAACCCGGUCUAAUACCGGAUAGGACGUCUCGUCGCAUGGCGGGGCGUGGAAAGGUUUCUUUCCGGUCAGGGAGGGGCUCGCGGCCUAUCAGCUUGUUGGUGGGGUGAAGGCCUACCAAGGCGAUUACGGGUAGCCGGCCUGAGAGGGCGACCGGCCACACUGGGACUGAGACACGGCCCAGACUCCUACGGGAGGCAGCAGUGGGGAAUAUUGCGCAAUGGGCGGAAGCCUGACGCAGCGACGCCGCGUGGGGGAUGACGGCCUUCGGGUUGUAAACCUCUUUUACCACCGACGCAGGCCCGCGUUUCUGCGCGGGUUGACGGUAGGUGGGGAAUAAGGACCGGCCAACUACGUGCCAGCAGCCGCGGUAAUACGUAGGGUCCGAGCGUUGUCCGGAAUUAUUGGGCGUAAAGAGCUCGUAGGUGGCGUGUCGCGUCUGCUGUGUAAGUCCGGGGCUUAACUCCGGUUUGGCAGUGGAUACGGGCAUGCUAGAGGUAGGCAGGGGAGACUGGAAUUCCUGGUGUAGCGGUGAAAUGCGCAGAUAUCAGGAGGAACACCGGUGGCGAAGGCGGGUCUCUGGGCCUUACCUGACGCUGAGGAGCGAAAGCGUGGGGAGCGAACAGGAUUAGAUACC